rnacentral:rRNA from 1 species
GAUGAACGCUGGCGGCGUGCCUAAUACAUGCAAGUCGAGCGAACAGACGAGGAGCUUGCUCCUCUGACGUUAGCGGCGGACGGGUGAGUAACACGUGGAUAACCUACCUAUAAGACUGGGAUAACUUCGGGAAACCGGAGCUAAUACCGGAUAAUAUAUUGAACCGCAUGGUUCAAUAGUGAAAGACGGUGUUGCUGUCACUUAUAGAUGGAUCCGCGCCGCAUUAGCUAGUUGGUGAGGUAACGGCUUACCAAGGCAACGAUGCGUAGCCGACCUGAGAGGGUGAUCGGCCACACUGGAACUGAGACACGGUCCAGACUCCUACGGGAGGCAGCAGUAGGGAAGCUUCCGAAAUGGGCGAAAGCUUGACGGAGCAACGCCGCGUGAGUGAUGAAGGGCUUCGGAUCGUAAAACUCUGUUAUUAGGGAAGAACAAAUGUGUAAGUAACUAUGCACGUCUUGAGGGUACCUAAUCAGAAAGCCACGGCUAACUACGU